rnacentral:rRNA from 1 species
GUGUGACUGCGUACCUUUUGUAUAAUGGGUCAGCGACUUAUAUUCUGUAGCAAGGUUAACCGAAUAGGGGAGCCGAAGGGAAACCGAGUCUUAACUGGGCGUUAAGUUGCAGGGUAUAGACCCGAAACCCGGUGAUCUAGCCAUGGGCAGGUUGAAGGUUGGGUAACACUAACUGGAGGACCGAACCGACUAAUGUUGAAAAAUUAGCGGAUGACUUGUGGCUGGGGGUGAAAGGCCAAUCAAACCGGGAGAUAGCUGGUUCUCCCCGAAAGCUAUUUAGGUAGCGCCUCGUGAAUUCAUCUCCG